rnacentral:lncRNA from 1 species
CUGCUGAGGAGCACGGCUGGGAGCUGGAACUGCGGUACUUGACGCUCCGCUCUCCUCUUGUGUCUGUUUCCACACCUGAGCAGGAGAUGAGCUCGCAGGUGAGCCAGGCCAAGGUGUCCAAGGCAGACAGGAGGGGUGGGGGUAUAAGGCACAUGCUGUGAUUAACACGCAUCUUUUUUGAUUCUUGCAGCAUUUUACACAGGAGGAAACUGAGGUUCAGAGAGGUUGAGUGACUUGCUUAAGGUCACGGAGCUGGCAAGGAGCAGAGCCCCCAUUCUCCUCCCAAAGCUACCCCCCUUCCCAAGCCCCUGCCUCCAGGGGACAGAGGUACAGAGUCCAAUCCCCCUCUCCUGCUGCUUCCUGCAACUGAGCUGCCCUCCCACGCAGCCCAGGGUCAGCUGCCUUACCCCAGCCCCCUCCACCUGCCCUGGCCCCCUGGCUCUGCCCAUCAUAGCCUGGC